CAAAAGGGCAGUCUGGCUACAACACUUGUCACCUCAUCAAUCGCCAGAGUUGAUUUGGCUGAUCUGGCUGGCUAGGCAGGUGUCCCCUUCCUCCCUCAUCGUUCCAUGCGUGUCCCUCCAAAGCUACACAGUAGUCAAAAUAGGCGACCAUUCCUGAGAGAGGAGGACUGUUUCCUCAGUCAAGAGUGUAAGAGUAGCUGCACUCCCUUUCUAGAACCUCCAAACCAGCUCCCAAAAGGGAGGUAAAAUCAGCAUAUGCGAUUGUAAGGACAGCAAUGUUGAUGAAUUGGAAUGCAU
ensembl:misc_RNA 7SK 7SK RNA